GAUUCCCAUUGCUAAUGUAGAGUCUGGAUGUUCAGAAGUCGCGUGGUUUGGAAGAGUGCUGUGUUCUCGUGUUUUUAGAUUUCAGAGCAGGAGAGAGGUGGAAUGUAGACGAUAUCGGGUACAGUUAUAUUACAUCCCGUUUUAACCCAAUUUCUUUUAGGUCGGUUCUGCUCUUUUGCUGAUACAUCGAGUUGAUAUUCCCGGGGCAAUAUUGAGUGAUAUACCACGUCUGUGGAAGCGUGUGGCUUAUAAACAGUUUGUGAAAUGUGAAGGCGUUGGUCGCAGAUUUUGGGAAGCAGACUAAAAAUAUCGAAAGGGUGUAGUCUGCCACCAGCAAACAGUUUCAGUGGAUUAUUCUUGUCGAGCCUUCAAUUGCUGUAGAGUAAUUACGUACUGUAUUGUGCAAUUUUAAGGAAAUAUUUUGAGAAUUGUGAAAAUAAACUGAGGAUAUCCGUUAGUAAAAAUUCUCAUUCAGAAGUGACCAAUUACGUGUGGGCUAAAAUAACGACUGUGCAGUUCACGUUCUGUUUUGAGCAACACAGGAAAUUAAAACACCAAACGUGUAAUAUCAAGGAAAUUGGAAUUUUUCUGUAGUUGUGGAUUUAUCUUUUGAUCCGGGGCUGAAUUUAGAAUUGUUGGAUUAAUAUUUCACUCUGCUUGAAUAUUUUUGAAUCGCCAUGAUGGCCAGUUGUUGCGCUAUUUUAGGGAUUGUAUUUUUGGUCUUAACGAAUUUAGCGAUUAUUAUAUCGUUUGCGACGCCAUAUUGGUUGGAUGAGAUGCAUUUGAUAGCCGGAAGGGUUAAUCAAGGAUUAUGGGCUGUCUGUAGUGAAAGCAAUUGCAGGUGGGCGUUUCAGAAUGAUUUAGCCAUACAGAAAAAUUACCCAGUAUGGUGGGUGGCUGUUCAAGCUUUGAUGGCGUUCGGUUUGUUCCUAGGCCUGAUGUCGUUAUUAGUGGCGACACUAGCGCUGUGCUGUGAAUGUAAGGGAUGUAACUCUAGUCAUGCUGUGGCCGGUAUUCUAAUGAUUGGAUUUAUAAUCAUGGGAAUAGCAGUGGUGCUCUUUGGUAUCAAGGCUCACCUGGACAGAGGAACGGAGAUGGAACUUGAGAGGCGAUCGAGCAGUCGUUUUAGUUGGUCGUUUUAUCUAGGGAUAUCUGCUUCUGCUCUUAGUCUUUUUACCAGUUUAAUAUAUGCAUGCGACGGCAGAAACCGACAUUAAACUACUCAUUGUUUAAAUAUAUAUAUACUUACAACAUUAGGGCUACUUUCAUAUUCGCACAUCGGAUUCAAAGAUCAGAUAAAAUUAUAAAUACAUUAUAUGAUCUUAGUAUGUCUACUAAAUACAAAACCUUUUGGUUUCUCAAUCUGGAUUCUAAAAGAAUCAGUUUCUAGUUGAAGAAAUACAGUAUCCGAUUAACAAAUUUGAGUUAAUAUUUUGUAUAUUCUGAGAAUAUACAUCAUUUCUGGGUUAAGAACCUUGUGUGCUAAGUAACUUACAUUUUGCCUGCCGUAAAUGAAUAAAUAUGUAUAUUAUUAUGUUAAGCUGUGUUUCAUAUUAGAUCUUAUUUUAAAAUUUCAAAAUGGGUAGUAUCUGUUACGAUUAAAAAUAAUAGAAAUUGUAGAAAAAAUUGAAAUAAUAUUGUCUGCCACUUUUAAUUAUUUUGUCAUACCAAUAGGUAUUAUUCUAAUUUACCCUGAAGUUUUGAUAAAUAAAAAAUGUAUAACUUAGAGUUUUAGCGAAUACUGCCGUAUACAUAAUAUUGAAAUUUGCUGUGACAUGUUGUGGGGAACUACAAUAAGUUUAAGUUGAAUUUAAUCAGUAAAAAAUUUGAGAGAUUAAAAUGAAUUUUAAGAGGAAUUGAAUGUUAUGAUAUAGUCAAUCAAAAAAAAUAUGAAAUCUAUUUGUAUUGUUAUUAUACCGAAGGAGACCGGUUGUAUUUGUCAUUCUUAUCAACAAUAUUAAAGAUAGAGUUUGCUGAUUGCAUCUUUCAUUCUGGCUCACCAUUUUAUAAUAAGAUCUAAUAUAAAAUACACGUGUUUACAGGUGUGUUUAUGUAAAUAUUAUAGGAUUUAGAAAAAAGGGUAUUCCAGCCGACAACUGACUAUCGUGACAUAAACAGGCUGCAUAACAUACCAUUAUUAACACAGAUUAGGUGUCCUGAUGAUCGCGUUGACUAUGUCGCCAUACGUUAUUAAUUGGACAUUAUAACCCUUAUUUGUAGCGCCAAUCAAAAGUGCCGUACCUCCUGAUGGUGUAUGCAUGGAUAAAAUAAUGAUAAAGCAACAUGACAUCUGGUCAGAUGUUAGUACACUUGGUUAGCAUGGAGCUAUUAUUGCAGUAUUACUAAGAUGAUUAAGAUAAUCUUUCUUGUCCGGUCCUGCGCCAAUAAAAAUUUGGUCACGACCGCUGUCGACGUGACAAUUGUAGAGACAAACUUACCAAGAAAAACUAACAUAGUACUACGGUGCAACGAAGAAGGUGCUAAAAUAAAAUGUCCACCAUCAGAUCCAUACAACAAAUGUCGGCUAAUAUUCUAUUUCUCAAUGUAACUGUAUAACAUAGGUCAUACUUUGUAUUAUUCAAUCUAUCGCUCAGUUUUAAAAAUUGUUUUUUUUUUUAACAAAUAUAUUUACAAUUUUAUAUUCAAAUAUUAUGUGUGUAUUAAUAACUGCUUAAUUGUUUCUUAUGUCUGCUGAUCGUAGCUUAUUUUUGGUCUGGAUCACUCCAGUCUAAAUUUUCCCAAAGAUCAUACGGGAAUUUGUUCUGACCAAUAGUUGUUGUGGUAAAACGGAGACAGUGUGGACUGGAGCGAUUCCAUAAAUUUCGUUUGUUUUCUGAUUUCCACAUAAAAAAAAGGAUAUGAAAUUGUCAUCUUAGUUUAACCAGAUUGGGUACGUUUUAAAUCCUGUUGGCAUUGGUUGUUGGGUGGUUAAAGAAAAACCAACACCGUACGCAGUGAUUAGGGAAAUCGAAAAAAAAAAUCCUAUGUACGCUCGUACUAUAAUAGCUGUUGAUCUGAAUAAUUAUUUUUUUCUUUGGGUUUUCGGACUAGUACGGUUUUACGCCAUCGCUUUUCCGCAAAGAGAAUUUCUUAGAAUUUAUAGCACGUCUACCACACGAAUGGAAAACGGCCACCUGUCUAUCCUAGUCAAGUAUCAGUAUUUUCUACCUGCUAAUAUUCUCGAAUCAUAUUUAUAAAUUAAGUAUUUUCUGUAAAUCAUAUUUAGCUAUUCUCCAUCUUUGUUACUAUCAUAAGCCAGUAUUAUGAAAUAUGCCUUUUGUGUCUUCCUAAUAUACCAGCAUUUUCUAGAAUUGUUUUUUAUUCCAGAUGAUGUUUAAUGACGCCAUGUUUAAUGACGCCAAUAUAACUGCUCCUUGUCUCAAUGUCUACUAGAUUUUUACAUUUUAUUUCUUUAUGAGGCCAUUAUCUGCCACUUGGACAAUCGAGAGGUCUUAAAUUGGUUAUAUAUGUAACUAACUGCUUCUUGUGUUGUUAAGUUGAGAAGUACAUUCGUUAACGUUGCUUUGAUACGAACUACAACACUCACAAGUGUCACUAUUUACUGUCUUCGGAGGUCGUUCUGGACGGCUUGAUGAUUCUUGUCAGCAACGAAUCCAAAGUACCUGUUGCCUUCUUAGUGUUAAAAGAGCAAUGUGCAGUUUGCAUACCUUACCAUUUGGGGGUUGGGUGGCCGAAUGGUUAACACGUGUGCGCUGUCAUUGAGUCAACUGGCGUGGUUUUGAUUCCCCGGAUAUACGUGACAAGGAGUAGGGUCGCCUGUCCAAGCUCGUUGGUUUUCUCCGGGUCCUCCGGUUUCCUUCCACUGCUAAAGACCCCUACGCGCAAGUGGACGUUAAGCCCCAUUUCUCUCUCGCAUACGUUACCGUUAGUCAUUGUCCGGUAGAUAUUGGCCUUAAGUCAUAAACCACAUUAUUAAUAAUGCAAUUUGAGUUUAUUUAAGAACGUUAUAUUAUUAUUGUUUUAUUUUUUCGUUGAAUAUAUUCUAGUCAAUCUUUUGUCGGUAUUGUAUUGUUUUUGAAUUGUAAAAUAUACUAUAUUAUGACUAUGUGUAUAGUCGUCAUAAGCACGAUCACGUUGUAUUAGGUUUAGGUCUAUAUUCGUCAUAGUAUCGCAACUUCUCAUUAACUCGGUUUUCGGGCCUGUUUGAUUGUCACCAUUCUAAAUCUAGAUUCUCCUUCCAGAAUCGAGUCACAAAUAGUUUUUAGAAUCCAUCGCGUAAGCAAUAUUUAUUUUUAUAAAUUACGCAAGAUACCUAAACAAUUAAAAAAUGUUUUACGUUGAUCAGCUCUUGUUGAUAUGUAAAUGACCUUACAUGAAUUAACACUACAAGACAGAACCACCUAUCUGGAUAGGAAUUCAAAAAUUGUUAGGAAACAACAGAAUGAACAGAAUCUAAAUCGGAUUCGUGACCGCCAAACCCGCCCGAAAUAAACAUGUAGUUUACAGUUGACAAUACCAGGGACUGAUUUAGUGUAAAAUGCAUCAAGAAAUAUAAUUACAGAGUAUUUUUAUUGGAGUUUUUGGAUUUUGAAAACUUGCCAACACAAAGACGAGAAUACAUUUACACGCUUAGAGAUUUUAGUAUCGACAGAGUUAUCUCCCAUACUAUAUUAUUGUUGACUUCUAAAAAUACUGGUAAAUGCACACCACCAGUCCUAUCCCGUCAGCUUCUUAUUUUGACCCAAUCAUUGGGCUCCAGAACAGCCUAAUAAUUGAUAACGAUGCUUCAUACAUGGGCCAAUGCAUACCACAGACAAUUUUUCCCUUUCUUUAAAACGUCGGUUAAUGUCCGGCAACAAUAGGCCUAUCGUUGCAUUCGAACAGACAACUGUUCGACUUUUGCAGGUACAUGUAUAUUAUUUUCCACAGUUUUCAAUAAACUUUGUGUAUAUUAAAACGAAAGUGCUAUUAUUAUUAUUGUCUAUGUUGUGUGGUGACGUGAGUUAUUCUCCUUGUCUAGAUAUUUGAAACUGUUUUAAAACUAAUUAUACAGCGUUAUAUCGUAUCUUUUUAAAUAAACAUUUUUAACUAACAUUAAA